rnacentral:rRNA from 1 species
UAGGGAAUCUUCGGCAAUGGACGGAAGUCUGACCGAGCAACGCCGCGUGAGUGAAGAAGGUUUUCGGAUCGUAAAGCUCUGUUGUAAGAGAAGAACGAGUGUGAGAGUGGAAAGUUCACACUGUGACGGUACCUUACCAGAAAGGGACGGCUAACUACGUGCCAGCAGCCGCGGUAAUACGUAGGUCCCGAGCGUUGUCCGGAUUUAUUGGGCGUAAAGCGAGCGCAGGCGGUUAGAUAAGUCUGAAGUUAAAGGCUGUGGCUUAACCAUAGUACGCUUUGGAAACUGUUUAACUUGAGUGCAAGAGGGGAGAGUGGAAUUCCAUGUGUAGCGGUGAAAUGCGUAGAUAUAUGGAGGAACACCGGUGGCGAAAGCGGCUCUCUGGCUUGUAACUGACGCUGAGGCUCGAAAGCGUGGGGAGCAAACAGGAUUAGAUACCCUGGUAGUCCACGCCGUAACGAUGAGUGCUAGGUGUUAGACCCUUUCCGGGGUUUAGUGUCGCAGCUAACGCAUUAAGCACUCCGCCUGGGGAGUACGACCGCAAGGUUG